GGAACCAUUUUCAAUAUGAUGAUAACAUAACCCAGCUCAUCCGAGAGAGAUAAAUCGUGUGGAUAAUUUUUCAUGCAUCACAAUCUGAUUGAAAUGGUUUCCAACGGGAAUGAAGGU